rnacentral:rRNA from 1 species
GACGAACGCUGGCGGCGUGCCUAAUACAUGCAAGUCGAACGCAGUGGGGACGGGUGAGUAACACGUGGGUAACCUCCCAUCAGAGGGGAUAACACUUGGAAACAGGUGCUAAACCGCUACUGAUGGAUGAACCCGCGGUGCAUUAGCUAGUUGGUGAGGUAACGGCUCACAAAGGCCACGAUGCAUCGCAGACAUGAGAGUGGGAGCGGACAAACUGGGACUGAGACAAGGCCCAGACGCCUACGGGAGGCAGCAGUAGGGAAUCUGAGGAAAUGGACGAAAGUCUGACCGAGCAACGCCGCGGGAGUGAAGAAGGUUUGCGGAUCGUAAAACUCUGUUGUUAGAGAAGCGGUAUCUAACCAGAAAGCCACGGCUAACUACGUGCCAGCAGCGGCGGUAAGAC